GUGGACAUUGGAUCUUAGCAGAAGAAGCACCAGGAAUACCAAAUCCUUUUAACUGUUAGGGGCCCCGCAAACUCUGCUCCUUACACACAGACCCAGUGAGGGUCUUUGCAGAGUUGUGCAGCAGAAAGAGGAGCAAGAGGCUCUCAGCCUUUUCCUCUAUGGCUGCAGCCGAGUCCUGGCUUUCAGAGCAUUGCAGUGGUUAACACAUGGUGCUGGGGCUCGCAAGAAGAGCCUUCACCCAGUGGAGCCUCAGAGGUAAAGGAGCUCCUAC